CCUACGGGAGGCAGCAGUGGGGAAUUUUGGACAAUGGGCGCAAGCCUGAUCCAGCUAUUCCGCGUGUGGGAAGACGGCCUUCGGGUUGUAAACCACUUUUGUAGAGAACGAAAAGUCUAUUGAUAAUACCCAUAGAUGAUGACGGUACUCUAAGAAUAAGCACCGGCUAACUACGUGCCAGCAGCCGCGGGAAUACGUAGGGUGCGAGCGUUAAUCGGAAUUACUGGGCGUAAAGGGUGUGCAGGCGGUUUUGCAAGAUGGAUGUGAAAGCCCCGGGCUUAACCUGGGAAAGCCAUACAUGACUGCAAGACUAGAGUGCGUCAGAGGGGGGUGGAAUUCCAAGUGUAGCAGUGAAAUGCGUAGAUAUUUGGAAGAACACCGAUGGCGAAGGCAGCCCCCUGGGACGCAACUGACGCUCAUACACGAAAGCGUGGGGAGCAAACAGGAUUAGAUACCCCUGUAGUC
rnacentral:rRNA from 1 species